AAGGCUUAUCCAUCUGGGUUUUUAGUAAUUGGUCAUAAGAAAAUUCUCAGAGAGAAAUCGACGAGAGAUUUACAUGAAAAGGAAUUCAACCAAAAGGCUAGAAAAUUCGUACCCAACCUCUAGUUACAUCUGGAAUGAUUGAAGGUGGUGAAUUUCAUACUCUUAUCUACUGAUUUCAUGGAGAUUUGGAAGUAAUUAAAGAGGGGUUUUCUUUGUUCUUGAUUGAUGAUUAAAGGUAUGAAGAACUUAGGGUUUCAUUGGGUUUUGGUUUCAACUAUGCCUGGUAGUGAAGCAUGAUAGAAUUGGAAUUCGAUAUAGGGAGGAGGUUGUAAUGUUUGAAUAGGUGUCUCUGAUUUCAGUUGGCGGAUUGCGAAGUUUGAGGUUUGAGUAGCGGUUGAGUGAUAGGUAGCUUUGGUGUAAGUGGUGUUGACGCGGCUGAGGAAGAAAUAGACAUUUGGGUCGAUUAAGUGGUCUUAACUUAUGUUCGUGUGAGGUCGUUGUUGGUCUCAAUAGUACUGUACAGUUCAUGUAUCUUUAUGAAGAUGUUUUCUUUGAGUUUCUUGUUUGUAAGUAAACCCUAUUUUGCUGAAUGUAUGUAUAGUGUGUAUAUAUCACCAAACAAAACACAUGUAAAUUAGAUGGUUAUCUAUAUUAUGAUAAGCCUAGUUUAUGUCUUGGUU